GCCGAAGUGGCGGAAUUGGCAGACGCGCAUGGUUCAGGUCCAUGUGCCCGCAAGGGCGUGGGGGUUCGAGUCCCUUCUUCGGCACGA
rnacentral:tRNA from 1 species